rnacentral:rRNA from 1 species
GAUGAACGCUGGCGGCGUGCCUAAUACAUGCAAGUCGAACGGACAGACCAUGAUCUUGCUCCUCUGACGUUAGCGGCGGACGGGUGAAUAACACGUGUAUACCCUACCUAUAAUACGGGGAUAACUUCGGGAAACCGGAUCUAAUACCGUAUAAUAUAUUGAACCGCGGGGGUCGAUAGUGAAAGACGGUGUUGGUGGCACGUAUAGAUGGAUCUGGGCCUCAUUGGAUAGUUGGUAAGUUAACGGCUUACCAAGGCAACGCGGCGUAGCCGACCUGAGAGACUGAUCGGCCACACUGGAACUGAGCCACGGUCAAGACUACUAAGGGAGGCAGCAGUCGGGAAUGUUCGGCAACGGGCGAAAGCUUGACGGAGCAAGGCGGAGUGAGUGACGACGGCCUUCGGAUCGUAAAACUCUGUUAUGAGGGAAGAACCGAUGUGGCCGUAAAUAUAGAGGUCUUGACGGUAAUUAAUAAGAAAGCACCGGCUAACUACGUG